AGUGGUAGAGGACUUAACUUAGGAAAUGGCUGAGCUACGGUAUCGAACUCUCAUCCCUAGACCUCAAGCUUCAUCUCUCCAAUUCAAUUGGCAGGAAUGGACCUUUGGUGGAUGGAUGGAAGUGGUCAAGGCCUAAUGGAGGGCAUGCAGGACUAACAUCAGCAUUGAAGACAUAAAAGAUUUAAACAAAACAAGGUAUACUCAAAACAAAACUACAUUUUAUUUUUU